rnacentral:rRNA from 1 species
AUGAGCUUGUCUGCCGCCGGGAUCAUCAGUGCCAUCAAUGAUUGUGUCAGUUUGUUUCUGUCGGCCAAAUCUGCCAUUUCAUCUCUGCGCUCCCGAUGGAGUGGCUCACAAGAGCAAAGUCUCCAGGAUCAUGUAUUGCAAUUACAGAGUGAGGUACAACAUCUCUGUGACACUCUUCCUGCAAUGUAUCACCUCAUUAAUGGAGCAGAGUGGAGAAGCUAUGAAGACCAUGUGGCCAAGCUCCUUCCGAGUCUCAAGGAUGCUGUGUCUGAGGCCGAGGACCUUAUUGAUGAGUUCAGAUGGCAUGAGAUGAAGGUGCAAGUGGAGGGCAAUGCAAUCCAAUCUCCUUUCAUUGACUUCCUUGAUAAGGUCAUUCAUGGCAACUUCAACAAGUUGAAUGAUGUCCAGUUGAGGUUGAAUUACCUUUCGAGUGAGAUGAAGGGUAUGGGGCUUCGUGAAGUUACACAUCGCUUUGCGAAAUCAGUCAGGCCCGUGACCACCUCUUUGUUGUCAAAAGAAACAAAGAUUUUUGGUCGUGAGAAGGAGGUGCAACAGGUAUUGGGAUUUAUUAAUGUACCCACACGUCCAAAACGCAAGAGAGCAACUAGUUCAAUCAAUGCAUCAACAAGCACAUCAUCAAGCAGCCAUGUUAAUGGUGAACCAAUAAUAUCGAGUCUUCCUGUUUUGGUGGUAGCCCGAAUUGGUGGUGUUGGAAAGACCACUUUGGCCCAACAUAUCUGCAAGCAUCAACGAGUGAAGUCGCACUUCGAGCUAAUAAUGUGGAUUUGUGUCUCAGAUGACUUCGAUGAGAAGAGGUUAACUAAAGAAGCCAUAGAAUCAUGUACUGGAAAGGAGGCUAAGAUUGAUAAUUUGGAUUCUCUUCAGCAUGCUCUUUCUAACCACGUGAAAAAUAAAAGGUUAUUGAUAGUCCUUGAUGAUGUGUGGGCCAGAACUCUAGGGCGGAUGUUAAGGAUGGACCAUCAAGCAUCGCAUUGGAGUUCUAUACUUGAGAGUUAA